rnacentral:lncRNA from 1 species
GGCUGGCAGGACCCACGUGGGCCCUGGGCCUCGGGCAGGCCCAGCCCAGGAGGACGCCGGAGGGGCUCGUUCACUUACUCGCUCGUUCGCUCGUUCAUUCUGCAGUGUCUACUGAGCCCCUCAUCUGUGUCCUGCAAGCCCCGUACCCAGUGCUGGGGACACAGCAGGGGACCAGACUCUAGACCCGAGCCCUGCCCUCAAGGACAUCCGUUCUGAUGGAGGGAGCCGGACGGAAAGCGUGAGGAAGCAGGAAAACGCGCCGUGCCACGCCUCGGCACCCGCUCCGGGCUGGACGCCGUCCCCAGCGCCGAGGCUGCAUCCAGAGGCUUGGCAGACAGGGCCCUGCUCCCGUGGACUCUGUGUCCAGGGCGUCUGGGCCCAAAGCAGCUUCUCCCCAAGGCAGAGCGGGGACCA